UACGGAGGGUGCAAGCGUUAAUCGGAAUCACUGGGCGUAAAGCGCACGUAGGCUGUUAUGUAAGUCAGGGGUGAAAGCCCACGGCUCAACCGUGGAACUGCCCUUGAUACUGCACGACUCGAAUCCGGGAGAGGGUGGCGGAAUUCCAGGUGUAGGAGUGAAAUCCGUAGAUAUCUGGAGGAACAUCAGUGGCGAAGGCGGCCACCUGGACCGGUAUUGACGCUGAGGUGCGAAAGCGUGGGGAGCAAACAGG
rnacentral:rRNA from 2 species